AUGCAGGAGAAGGGAGGACAGGCAUUGCAUUCUGACCACCCAGGUUCCAGUGCCAGCCCUGCCCCUACCCCUCUACUGAGGUACUGGACCUCAGGACAGAUGACAGCAGUGCCUGGAGCUGCCCUUCCUCCACAGGACGAGGCCAAUACCUGUGCUUAUCUAGGCCCCAGGGGUGGCCCUCCCUCUCUUCCAGAUGCUGUCCAUCAAACGUCUUCCUCCUCCCUUCUCCUUCUCUCAUGGCCCUUGCACUUUGGGUUUGUUGGAGGAAAAGAGGAAUGACUCAAGGGGGAGAGAACGAAGAAGUAGUUUGUGAGGAACUGAAUGACCCUACACCCUGGUCUCCUGUAUUAUAACCUACUUCAGGGCGCACACUUUUCUUUGUCCCUGUGGACAAAUAGCCCUUGCCUAGAUUUGGUCAUCUCAUAUCUGCAUGUCUUUUUACUUUGGUACUGAAUCUCUAAUCUUUUUUUUUUUUUUUUUUUUUUUCUUUUUGCCAUUUCUUGGGCCGCUCCAGCGGCAUAUGGAGCUUCCCAGACUAGGGGUCAAAUCGGAGCUGUAGCCGCCAGCCUACACCAUAGCCACAGCUACUCAGGAUCCGAGCCGCAUCUGAGACCUACACCACAGCUCGAGGCAAUGCCGGAUCCUUAACCCACUGAGCAAGGCCAGGAAUCGAACCUGCAACCUCAUGGUUCCUAGUCAGCAUUCGUUAACCACUGAGCCAUGACAGGAACUCCUCCAAGCAGUCUUUUUGAGGAAGGGAAAUAUAGCCAGAGUCAUUUUCUUUACCUACCCUCCUGGGACUUGGCUUCAGUGUGUACACAAGUGGCCAUGAUAGUAUGGGAUGGAGCCAGGGGAGGGAAAAGAACACGAGUGGGAUCUUGGCUUAAUAGACAUUAAUCUACAGUAGGUGCUCAGUAAAUGUUUAAAGACUAUGUCUUUCUGUGCUUGUUUCCUCUGCAGGGUAUCUUGGUUAAGAUAUUUGAGGUGCUUUACCACAUAGCUCCCACUAGAUGUCACUGUUGUCAUGUUUGCAAAUCCCAUCUACUUCAUUUCCUCCUACCCUGCCCCCACCGUGGUUUGAUUUCAUCACAUUUAGAACACAUAUACCUAUACAUUUUUAAGUUGGCAGAUUUUUCCUCUAAUAAUUAUGGAAUUCUUGCUUUACUUACAUGUUGUCACUGACUUCCCAUUACUUUUGUUGUUUUACUUACUCCUAUAUUGGGCUUCCAAAGGUCUUGUACACAGAAUGUACUUAAUUAAAUUUGAAUUGAAUUGAAAA
rnacentral:lncRNA from 1 species